rnacentral:rRNA from 1 species
UGAAACUCAAAGGAAUUGACGGGGGCCCGCACAAGUGGUGGAGCAUGUGGUUUAAUUCGAUGAUACGCGAGGAACCUUACCUAGGCUAGAAUGCGCGUGACCGGCUCAGAGAUGAGCCUUUCCUUCGGGACACAAAGCAAGGUGCUGCAUGGCCGUCGUCAGCUCGUGCCGUGAGGUGUUGGGUUAAGUCCCGCAACGAGCGCAACCCCUAUGUUUAGUUGCCAGCAUGUAAUGAUGGGGACUCUAGACAGACUGCCUGCGCAAGCAGUGAGGAAGGCGGGGACGACGUCAGGUCAUCAUGGCCCUUACGCCUAGGGCGACACACGUGCUACAAUGGACGGUACAGCGGGUAGCUACUGGGCGACCAGAUGCCAAUCUCGAAAAGCCGUUCUCAGUUCGGAUUGGAGUCUGCAACUCGACUCCAUGAAGCUGGAAUCACUAGUAAUCGCGCAUCAGCCAUGGCGCGGUGAAUACGUUCCCGGGCCUUGUACACACCGCCCGUCAAGCCAUGAAAGUCUGGUAGACCUGAAGCUGGUGCUCCGCAACGAAGCCAGUUAGGGUAGAACAGGUAAUUAGGGCUAAGUCGUAACAAGGUAGCCGUACCGGAAGGUGCGGCUGGAUCACCUCCU